GAUGAAGAACGUAGUGAAAUGCGAUAAGUAAUGUGAAUUGCAGAAUUCAGUGAAUCAUCGAAUCUUUGAACGCACCUUGCGCCCUUUGGCCAUUCCGAAGGGCAUGCCUGUUUGAGUAUCAUGAACACCUCAACUCUUCAUGGUUUUCCGUGAUGAGCUUGGACUUUGGGGGUCUUGCUGGCCUAUGGUCAGCUCCUCUAAAAUAAAUCAGCUUGCCAGUGUUUGGUGGGUAUCACAGGUGUGAUAACUAUCUACGCUUGUGGUUUUCCACCAGGUAACCUUCAGCAGUGGAGGUUCGCUGGAGCUCACAGAUGUGUCUCUCCUCAGUGAGGUCAGCUCUUUGAAUGUUUGAUCUCAAAUCAGGUAGGACUACCCGCUGAACUUAAGCAUAUCAAUAAGCGGAGGA
rnacentral:misc_RNA from 1 species